rnacentral:ncRNA from 1 species
AUUACCGAGUUUACAACUCCCAAACCCCUGUGAACAUACCUAUACGUUGCCUCGGCGGAUCAGCCCGCGCCCCGUAAAACGGGACGGCCCGCCCGAGGACCCCUAAACUCUGUUUUUAGUGGAACUUCUGAGUAAAACAAACAAAUAAAUCAAAACUUUCAACAACGGAUCUCUUGGUUCUGGCAUCGAUGAAGAACGCAGCAAAAUGCGAUAAGUAAUGUGAAUUGCAGAAUUCAGUGAAUCAUCGAAUCUUUGAACGCACAUUGCGCCCGCCAGUAUUCUGGCGGGCAUGCCUGUUCGAGCGUCAUUUCAACCCUCAAGCUCAGCUUGGUGUUGGGACUCGCGGUAACCCGCGUUCCCCAAAUCGAUUGGCGGUCACGUCGAGCUUCCAUAGCGUAGUAAUCAUACACCUCGUUACUGGUAAUCGUCGCGGCCACGCCGUAAAACCCCAACUUCUGAAUGUUGACCUCGGAUCAGGUAGGAAUACCCGCUGAACUUAAGCAUAUCAAUAAGCGGAGGAAAAGAAACCAACAGGGAUUGCCCUAGUAACGGCGAGUGAAGCGGCAACAGCUCAAAUUUGAAAUCUGGCUCUCGGGCCCGAGUUGUAAUUUGU